ACAAUGAAGAGUUUGAUCCUGGCUCAGGAUGAACGCUAGCUACAGGCUUAACACAUGCAAGUCGAGGGGCAUCGGGAAGAGAGCUUGCUCUCUUUGCCGGCGACCGGCGCACGGGUGCGUAACA
rnacentral:rRNA from 1 species